rnacentral:rRNA from 1 species
CAGCAGCCACGGGAAUACGGAGGGUGCAAGCGUUAUCCGGAUUUAUUGGGUUUAAAGGGUCCGUAGGCGGAUCUGUAAGUCAGUGGUGAAAUCUCACAGCUUAACUGUGAAACUGCCAUUGAUACUGCAGGUCUUGAGUAAAUUUGAAGUGGCUGGAAUAAGUAGUGUAGCGGUGAAAUGCAUAGAUAUUACUUAGAACACCAAUUGCGAAGGCAGGUCACUAAGAUUUAACUGACGCUGAUGGACGAAAGCGUGGGGAGCGAACAGGAUUAGAUACCCGAGUAGUCCCUGUCUCUUAUAC